AGAAGGAAAAACAAAGAUACGCAGCUCUCCGAGAGAGAGAAAAUAUAUCCAAGAGAGCUCCAUGGUUCAGAGAAUUCAGGUUCAGGUUCAGUCACAGGCAGUGAUCAGCAGCGCGCGAGCUGUGAAUUACAGGGCGGUUUCUCCUUUGGCACGCAUUCGUCAUGCCAUGCAGCUGAAUCUACAGCUACUAGACAUGCGUGCCAAAGGAGAAUUGCCCUGCGAUUCACCAGCACAGCACAUGUAGUUUUCAACCCCUGAUGCAAGUCCGCAGUGCAAGUGUACUCAGAAUGGUUCUCACAGCAAAGCAAUCAUUUUAACAGUUGCUCUGAAGAACUAGAGAUGGAGCAAAUAGAUUUAUUGACAUGCCUUCAAAGUGAAGAAUAAUCGAGCAAGCGUUGCUGGAGUCAAAUAUUUCUCGGAGAAUAAUAGACUUGUGGCAUUUCUUUUCUUUCUUCUACAUGCAUGUCAAAAAAAGAUAUACAGAAUCACCUACACUAACCGCAGAUCACUGCAGUUACAGAGAAUAAAUUAUGCAUACUAAGUUAGCUA